UCUACUAGUACUUCAUGGCUUUCUGACUAUGUUGAUUGAUUUUUCUUGUAGUAAAAUGUUCUCUUCUAUUAUCUUGUAGGUCCAGGGGGCCAGUUUCCGAGGCUGGAAGGAUGUAACCUCUAUAUUUAACAAAGAUGAUGAACAGCAGUUGCUAAAAGGAUCGAAAUCUCCUAAAUCUCCUAAAUCCAAUAAGUAAGACUAAUUUGUACUUCAGAAAAAAAGAUGUUGUGCAACUUCAGUUUAUAUUUAAGUGUUCCUGAUAUAAAAAUGAUGGGUUCCGCUGAGAAUUCGUUAAGCUAGGAAUCAUUAAGUAAGAGAAAUGCAAAUUGUAGGCCUCAUCACCUAGAAAACUAGCGUGGAUUUGAGAGUUAUUCAGCUCUUCAAUUUUGGCCUAAAAUUUAAUUACCUUUGACAAUAUCAUCAAUUCUCUGUUUGAAGAACAAGUCUAAUUUUAUAGGAGUAACAUUUCAAGCUCUGUAACGAAUAGAACUAUUAUGGUACUGGUGACAUCAAUCUCCUGCCUUUUUUUUCCUGGUUCUAAACUAGAGAAUUUUACUAGUUGGGCUACUUUGAAUUUAAAUUUGAAACUCACGUUGAAUUCUCGCUUUAGUAAAUAACCCUGUAAAUGUGUAUCUGAGAUGUAGCUAGUUAUCCAUUUGUGGUGUGGAUAAUAUAGGUCUUCCUUAAAGAACCUCUUUAGUCACCGAGGCCAUCUUGCCUCCACUGAGGUAUAAUCCGCAAACUAGUAAACUUUCUAUUGAAACACAUGAUUUUAAAGUGUGGUGACACAUUUUUAUUUUUUUAUUUUUUUUUAAACGAGCACUGUGGUGUUAGGAAUACAAAUAUGUACUCCUAGCUCUAUAUUGUUACAGUUUAGGUGAUAGGACCAGCAAUGCCAGGGCUUGAAAAGUUUGUUUGUUUGUUUACCUUUUCUCCCUUGCAGUGCUGGUCUCCUCCACGAAGUUCCAACCAAGUUUUCAGCUGUAGGGUUAAGCAGGGGAUUAAGAUGAAGUGCUCUGAGCGCCUGUAGUGUUCAUUUAAUCCAGUUUUACUGAAGUCGGUUGGGUAUUUUCUGAAAAGCUGGACAGAUCUGCAUGUUCAGGGAUACUUUGUAAUGGAAACCAGGGAUACUUAUACAUAUAAGUGUUUUAUUUACAAGCAGCGCUGUCACUUGAACCAUUAACUGCUUUGUUGAAAUAACCAAACGUUACCACUAGGGAUUGUUUACAUUCACAACAUUUUUGUUUGUCAGACCAUGGUCUUAUUUACAUGCGUCACUGUUGGUCACUAGAGGAUAAUUAAACCGUGCUCAAAUAUAGCUCAGACUUUGGUAGUAAAUUCCUUAUUGUCUUUUCACAAGCCAUUUUCCUUUCUUGUUCCUUAUGGGCCUUGCUUUUUCAGUGCACAGAUGGGCAUUUACAGUCCAACUUUGUUUCUUUAUCACUGGCAACGUUUCUGCUUUCCAGAUUGCAUUAUUAGAUUUUUAUUCAACAAUCCUAAUUGUUAACAUAUUUUAUAAACGUUGAUUGUUUUUGUUUUUAAUAUCUUUCUCAAAUUGAGAGUAAUCAUUUGCCCUUACUGUCCAACAUAUUAACUGUACCACGGACAUCCUGUCAUUUUACUGAUAAUCAUCUGUGAUUCCUUAUACACGUUGGUGUCUGCCCUUUUUAUAUCUUUUGUAGCGAUAUUGCUGUAUAAUCACAUUUUUACUUCUAAAGACUGUUGAUUACUUCUGCAUUCCCAUCUUCUGCCACAUAUUUCUAACAAGCAAUUUAUGUCCUUCACGUUUCUUUCCUCAUGUUAAAAUGCUAGUCAGCUUUUCCUUUUAACCCCAUCCACAACUGCAUUAUUUAACAUAAAUACAUUUAUAAAGAGUAACAUUUAUGUGAAACGCUGAAUGCAUCGGUUUAAUCAACAUGGUUCUAGAACACAAAAAUGCUGUAUGUAGCGAUGCCUAAGAAAUCUGGAAUGAUGUGCUUUUAAGGAAUCUUAAUAAGUUAAUUAUUAGUUCAUUCUUUGAAAAUAUAAAUGCAGGGAUCAUAUGACCACAUAUAGAUCGGAAGGAGUAUGUGAGAUUUUACAAAAUGCCCUGUUUAGCACUCUUUCUGACAGGUUCAGUAAUGGUAGCGUAGAAGUACAAACCACAAUUUUGUAACCUUGCAACAACCAGGCAUUUGUGUUUCAAAAUGCAUUAAAGUCUGUGAUUACAGCUUGAAAAUAUGCAUCCAUUGCCCUCCCACGUCUCCCAGCUGCUCUUGCUGUAUUGAUACAGUACAUUCAUUUGACCUUGCAGCUUAUGUGUGUGUCUGUUUGUGUUAGUUAUUGUUCCCCUGUGUGAGGCACGAGGACUGAUCAGAGCAUUAGCGGAUAAAUUAUCAUUAUGCUAGAAAGAAAAAAAAAACACAUAAAACACCAUUUAUUUGCUUAAACAUCUUCUGGAUCAGUAAAAAUGGUUAAAUGAUGAUAAAUUUCACAGAUUGGGUAUUUUUAAGCCUCUUUAAUUAUGCAGCUAAUUUGUCAGUUAUUUGAAAGACUGCUAAAAAUAGCAGACUCCAUGUUUAUCCUCACUUCAGAGUUAGUUUAGUUCUAUUCUUAAAUUGCACAAUUCUAUCAUUAGCCCUCGCACUUCUUCCUUUAGUGGAAAAAUAAUUGCAGUUGACUUUGGUUUUGGUUGGCACUGAUAUUUACUGUGUGUGAAUACUACAUUCACAAUGCUUUUAUCCUGAUGUCAACAGGAAACAUUCAAAAUUAAAAGGACACUAUGAGCACCAAAACAACUUUAGCUUAAAGGAACACUAUAGUGAAAUACAAGCAUGUGUUCCUGACACUGUAGAUUUAAAUAGCUGUUUAGGUGACCGCCCCCAUUUGUCACCGAUACUUGGCUCUGCCAAUCCCACAGGAAAGCAUUGAGAAGCUAUCGUGCAUGCACAGCAAAAUGCCACACUGUACCAAUCAGCAACUCCUCUUAGAGUUGCAUUGAAUAAAGUAAACACACUUUGCUGUCAGAUCUGAUUGAAAAUUAAACAAUUUUUUUUUUUUAUCAUACAGCCUGAGUCAGUCACAGCCACUAGAUGUGUAGCCAGGGCUGCAUAAACAGAAACAAAAAUGAAUGAACUCCUAAAUGAAAAAGUUGAGAAUUGAGCAGUGACCUUGCAGGGGCAUGAUCUAUACACCAAAACUGCUUCAGCUGGUUUGAUGCUUGGAAUAUGCCUUUAAAGGAAGAACCGUAGAGUGGUAUUUUGUGCCAACUCUAACAUGACGUCAUUAUUUUAAUUGUCAUAAAUAUUUAUAACAACGUUUUGCAAAUUAUUAUUGUUUAUAGAGCUCCUGUGAAAACUAAGGAGGAGGUGAAGACAGAGAAAAAAACUGGUUUUUGGGACAGUUUGGCCAUUAAACAGAACAUUCAACCAAAGAAAGCGGAUGAAAUUGAAGGUUGGGAACCCCCACAAAUUACAGUAGAGGAGCCCCCGUCUGUUCCAGAAGAUAUGUUGGAAGACAGCAAUUCCUGGCCAGGCUGGGAAGACGAAACCAAAGGAUCUACUAAAUAUACCACCCUGAUGAGUUCAGGAAACAGCUCCCGUUGGAGCAUUAAAUCAGCUGGUAAACUGGUUAGUAUUAGAAGACGGAGCAAAGGCAACCUCACUGAAAGCUGGGAGGAAUUAGAAUGACAACUGCAACAAGCUAGCAAUAUGCAAUCUCUACCCAUUCAGAUGGGCCAGAGUCACCCUUUCCAUGUUGUCAUUUUAUACCAAAAUCUCCUAAGUAUUGUAUACCUAUGUACUUUUAUAGUUAUCAAAAUCCAAAAAAUACAAAUUUGCACUUCUAUUUUUUUGAAUCAGUACAAAGGUAUUAAUAGUUCACUCUUUUUCCACAUAGAAACAAAAUAUCCACCUGUGAAAUAUUGUGGUGCCUUGAUUGUGCCUACAUUACACAUUCAAAUAUAAAACUUGGUUUUACCAAAAAUAAAAGUAAUUCCUUAGUGAAUGUAUACACUGGUUGUAAUUUAGACUGCCUUAUACUGUUAACAGUAAAGGUUUUUGCCUUGCACAUAAAACUGUCAAGUGCCUGUUUUUCACCUUGAUAACGUAUUUGUGAUGCACAGCUUAAUUUAUUGAUAAUGUUAAUUUACUUGUUUCCAUUGGUUUUUAUUGUUAUUAUAAGACAGAAGAUGAAAGACUUUAUAGACCGGCAAUUAUUAGGAAAUAAGUGUUUUAGUAUUUUAUUUCAGGAAAUAGAGAGAAAGACAUGAAUAUUUGAGACUGAGUACUUUCUGUUCUUAAAUUACUACUUAUUACAUUAUUAUAUUCUGUAUAAUUGUAUAGUGUCUCUGUCAAAGGGAAACUAUAUGUCCAAAAAUACAUUUCAUUGUAUCAUUAAAAAAAUUCAUUUAUUAAAAUUUGCACAGAUAAGCCCUGAAUAUGUGCUUUUCAUUAGCUGAAGUACUGGCUCACGCAGCUGGUGAAGAUGUUAGCUAUUGUCUAAUCAAAUGCUUCUCGUAUUGGAGAGAGCAUCUCCAGUCCAUAACUUUUGAUCGAGAUGGAUGGUUGUAUUAAGAUAUAGGGAUUCUUAUUUUUAAAAAAACCUAUUGUAGGGUUGUAUUAGUUCAAGUGCCGCUUUUAAGUAUUAAUUUUUGUGUGCCCAUAAAAAUGGUGCCUUGCUAAAAAAAAAAAAAGGUUGAUUGGAGUUAAAAUCCACAUAAGCGGUUUAGUAAGUGGUUGCCUCACUAUUAUAUUACAUCACAUGUAUACUUCAACUCCCACUAGCCUCAGUCAGAAUCUCAUUGAACACUGUAGUCCAGCAGGUGCAGGCAACUUCUUUCACUCAGUUUAACGAGACUUAACUUCCCAAAAGUGCGGCUUCCAUUUCUUUAUCUAUCUGACCUUUCCACUGAGGACAGAGGUCAAAACUAGAACCAAUUUAUGGCUUGUUUGUUCUGGGUUUGUUUUUUUGUUUUUUUUAUUAGUGAGCUUAGAGAGUUAAGUUGCCUAAAAGUGGGGCAGUAGGAUCUUUAAGACGGUGUGUUUAACUCACUCCGCCACGGGCAGCCUGUCCAAGGCAUCUGAUGGUAGAAUGCUGUGUGUGCUUGCACCAGAGGCAAAAGUUGCACAAAAUUUAUAACCAGGAAGAAAGUAUUCCAGCUAGCUAACUGACAGCCCAGGAAGGUGAGUCUACAUACAGAAAAAUUGAUAUUUAUCUCCACAAUUAUUAUUAUUAUUAUUAUUAUUAUUAUUUUUUAGAUACAGGAUUUCUGCGCCAUAAACACUUCAUUAAGAUGAAGUAUGUAUGGUGCUCAGAGUGAGCCUUUAAGCUGACCAAAGUAAAGAGUUUUUCAUCGUGACAUUUAAAACGUAUUUUAAUGUUUUCUCUUUUUAAUUUGCUUUUGUGUGUGUGUGUUUUUAUGCUUUGUGAUGUUUAUUUUCUCUAGUACGGGAUUUGAUGACUAGCCAUUGUUCAUUAUGACUCGUAACAUCACCCUUUUGGAUCAGAUUUGCUAGUUAUGAUAUGAAUUGUAUGUUAACUGCUGAGAUUCCAAAGCUUAAUUAAGCAAGAUUUUAAACUUUGAGCAAUCAAUACACUGGGUCCUCUUUAACUUAAUGUGAAGCAGGGUGUAUUGAAAAGGAUCCAUUCUUUAAAGUAAAGUAUGUUUUUAACCUGCACAUUAUAAAAUGAAAUACACUGGUUGUUCCAAAUGAUUGUGUUUUAUUGAUCAUCUAUAAAGUCAAUCCUAUAUUUUGCACCUAGGGAAGGAAAAUUCUCCCAAACAAUGUGUUUUGUGAGCAAUAAAUAACCUGGUACUUUGCCUGGUUUUCCUUGGAAGUCUUUGGGCUUUCCUCUUUUUGCUAAGCAGGCAGACAGUUUAGCUCACAAUUGCCUUCAAUGUUUAGGAUGGUUCGGUUCAACAAGGUUUAAAUUGGUCUCACUCAUUUUGGGCUAAUCCAUUUAGAAGAGAAAAUUGUGGAAUUCAGGCCAUCGCCACCAUAUCCAGGUAUGCCAAUAAAUUCAUUAAAACAUGUUGUCCGUGUAUCCAUGAGGACUAACUGUUUCUUCCAUUUUGUAAAGAGAAUAUUCCAAAGAUUGAUUCCACUGCUGUAGAUAUAACUUUUGUACAUACUUAGAAAGUUAUCACAGAUGAUUAAAAUUUCUUUUUAGUGAAACUGUGGUCAAUAUUUACCACAUUAUAAAAAUUUGCUUGUAAAAGUGAUAUGUAUCCAGUGCAUGGAUAGCUGUUGAAUCUUUACCAGGGCGAAAUAGUUCAGACUGAACACUUUAGUCAGUCAUUCCUUGCAAUGUAGCAUUGAUUCUUUGUUGAAGACAUUAUUUGUUAGUUGUCACUAUUGCAAUUCCUGGAUUAAUAUAAAACCGAGAAAAGAAAAUCUUUGUAAUUUGUGUUUUCUUUUUUAAAAUCAUGAAUAAAGAAUUCAGUUGAAGCAAAAA
rnacentral:lncRNA from 1 species